CUAGUUUAAUUAUGGCUAUAAAAAUUUAGAGCUAUUAACUACAUAAAAUUAUUUUAUUACUUAAAUUAUUAAUUGAAUAAGUUAUUUAGUAGUGAAUUUUUUAUAAAUUAAGAAAUUAAGUUGAAGUUUAGUUUUAAAAGAAGGAAAAGUCACAGUGCCAGCAUCCGCGGUUAUUCUGUUUUCUUUAUUUUGUAUAUAUUUUUUUAAACGUCUGACUAUUAAAUAUUUGUUAAAAAUGUUUAUGUUAAUUAAUUAAUUUUGACGUUAAAAGAAUUUAAUUAAGUAAAAUAAUAUAAAUUAGAUACUUAUUUAGUCUUAAAAAUAAUAAUUAUAUUAGUUAAACUAAAAUAAUUUGGCAGCUAACUAAUCUUUAUAGGGGAAGGUGUUUUAUAAAAGAUGGCCCACUUAAAAAUUAACUUUUAGAAUUUAGUUAGUGUACAUCCGAUUAUAAAUUUAUAUUGAAUAAUUAAUUAAUUAGAAUAAUUAAUAUAAGUCAGGUCUAUGUGUUAUUAAUUUAAAAGGAAAAAUGCCUUACUAUUAAAUUGUUAAAAAUGUAAUUUUAUAAAGCUUAGGACUUAUUAGUAAAAAAGAAUAAAUAUGUUUUUUUGAAGAGAGUUUAGUUGGGGUACACACCGCCCGUCAAUCUCGAUUUUUGUUGAGAUAAGUCGUAACAUGGUAAUUUUUUAGGAAUAAGAAAUUAGUAUAAUAAAUAUUUUAUUUAUUUAA
rnacentral:rRNA from 1 species